rnacentral:rRNA from 1 species
AUUGAACGCUGGCGGCAUGCCUUACACAUGCAAGUCGAACGGCAGCACGGGUGCUUGCACCUGGUGGCGAGUGGCGAACGGGUGAGUAAUACAUCGGAACGUACCUUAUCGUGGGGGAUAACGCAGCGAAAGCUGUGCUAAUACCGCAUACGCCCUGAGGGGGAAAGCGGGGGAUCGAAAGACCUCGCGCGAUUAGAGCGGCCGAUGCCUGAUUAGCUUGUUGGUGGGGUAAAAGCCCACCAAGGCGACGAUCAGUAGCUGGUCUGAGAGGACGAUCAGCCACACUGGGACUGGGACACGGCCCAGACUCCUACGGGAGGCAGCAGUGGGAAAUUUGGACAAUGGGGGCAACCCUGAUCCAGCAAUGCCGCGUGAGUGAAGAAGGCCUUCGGGUUGUAAAGCUCUUUUGUCAGGGAAGAAACACCGGCUCUAACACAGUCCGGGAAUGACGGUACCUGAAGAAUAAGCACCGGCUAACUACGUGCCAGCCGCCGCCGUAA